UACGUAGGGGGCAAGCGUUGUCCGGAUUUAUUGGGCGUAAAGAGCGUGUAGGCGGCCGCACAGGUCCGUUGUGAAAACUGGAGGCUUAACCUCCAGACGUCGAUGGAAACCGUGCGGCUAGAGUCCGGAAGAGGAGAAUGGAAUUCCUGGUGUAGCGGUGAAAUGCGCAGAUAUCAGGAAGAACACCCGUGGCUAAGGCGGUUCUCUAGUACGGUACUGACGCGUGAGGCGCGGAAAAGCCCAGGGGGAGCAAAACGGGG
rnacentral:rRNA from 1 species